UACGGAGGGUGCAAGCGUUGUUCGGAAUCACUGGGCGUAAAGCGCGUGUAGGCGGCCUUUUAAGUCUGAUGUGAAAGCCCGGGGCUUACCCCCCGGAAGUGCAUUGGAGACUGGGAGGCUAGAGUACCGGAGAGGAAGGUGGAAUUCCUGGUGUAGCGGUGAAAUGCGUAGAUAUCUGGAGGAACACCGGUGGCGAAGGCGGCGUCCUGGACCAACACUGACACUGAUGAGCGAAAGCCAGGGGAGCAAACGGG
rnacentral:rRNA from 1 species